rnacentral:rRNA from 1 species
UACGUAGGGUGCAAGCGUUGUCCGGAAUUAUUGGGCGUAAAGAGCUCGUAGGCGGUUUGUCGCGUCGAAUGUGAAAACCCGGGGCUCAACCCCGGGCCUGCAUUCGAUACGGGCAGACUAGAGUGCGGUAGGGGAGACUGGAAUUCCUGGUGUAGCGGUGAAAUGCGCAGAUAUCAGGAGGAACACCGGUGGCGAAGGCGGGUCUCUGGGCCGUAACUGACGCUGAGGAGCGAAAGCAUGGGGAGCGAACAGG